GUGGGGAAUCUUCCGCAAUGGACGAAAGUCUGACGGAGCAACGCCGCGUGAGUGACGAAGGUUUUCGGACUGUAAAGCUCUGUUGUUUAGGACGAAAGUGCCUGUUGCAAAUAGUUACAGGUAUUGACGGUACUGAACGAGGAAGCCACGGCUAACUACGUGCCAGCAGCCGCGGUAAUACGUAGGUGGCAAGCGUUGUCCGGAAUUAUUGGGCGUAAAGAGCAUGUAGGCGGGAAUCUAAGUCUGUUGUGAAAAUGCGGGGCUCAACCCCGUAUUGCGAUGGAAACUGGGUUUCUUGAGUGCAGGAGAGGAAAGGGGAAUUCCCAGUGUAGCGGUGAAAUGCGUAGAUAUUGGGAGGAACACCAGUGGCGAAGGCGCCUUUCUGGACUGUGUCUGACGCUGAGAUGCGAAAGCCAGGGUAGCGAACGGGAUUAGAAACCCGUGUAGUCC
rnacentral:rRNA from 1 species